AGGCAUGUGUUUUAUAUGCAGCCAAUCACGCUGCAUUUCCUGUCAUUUCCUGCAAGGAGUCAUCUGCAGAUGUACUAAAAUCUGCUAAGCCUUGUUUACAGCUCUAUGCGCCAUUUGUUAAAUGGCAGUUUAUAAAGUCUUGUACAAGAGGAGACCUUGGCCACAGAUUAAUGCAUCAAAAUGCAGUAAAGACGCAAGCGCUCAAACCAGCACACACUCAUGUUCCCUGGAUCACCUUCAAUGGGGCAAGGAAUACACUAGUGAAUGGGAAGAUAAGGCUAUGUCCACUCUCUUCAACCUUGUAUGCAGUUUGUACAAAGGAAUCAAGCCACCAGUCUGUACUGGAGCUCUGAAAAAAUUGGACAGAAGUUUUUCCUAGAGGAAGAGAGAAGU